AUUGAACGCUGGCGGCAGGCCUAACACAUGCAAGUCGAACGGCAGCACAGAAGAGCUUGCUCUUUGGGUGGCGAGUGGCGGACGGGUGAGUAAUGUCUGGGAAACUGCCCGAUGGAGGGGGAUAACUACUGGAAACGGUAGCUAAUACCGCAUAACGUCGCGAGACCAAAGUGGGGGACCUUCGGGCCUCACACCAUCGGAUGUGACCAGAUGGGAUUAGGUAGUAGGUGGGGUAAUGGCUCACCUAGGCGACGAUCCCUAGCUGGUCUGAGAGGAUGACCAGCCACACUGGGACUGAGACACGGUCCAGACUCCUACGGGAGGCAGCAGUGGGGAAUAUUGCACAAUGGGCGCAAGCCUGAUGCAGCCAUGCCGCGUGUAUGAAGAAGGCCUUCGGGUUGUAAAGUACUUUCAGCGGGGAGGAAGGCGGUGAGGUUAAUAACCUCGCCGAUUGACGUUACCCGCAGAAGAAGCACCGGCUAACUCCGUGCCAGCAGCCGCCGUAA
rnacentral:rRNA from 1 species